rnacentral:lncRNA from 1 species
CGCCACUCCAUUUCAUUUCGGUUUUCUCCACUCCACGUCAUCUGAUGGUCUUCCACUUUACUCCAUCCCAUUUCCCACCCCUCCACUCCUUUUAAUUCCCCUCUUUAACACACAAUUUAUUUUCCUCCACUCUGCUUCAUUUCAUUGACCUCUAUUCAGUUUAUUUCAUUUCCCACCACGCCACUCCAUUUCUUUUCCCACCGCUACAUGCAGUUUU